ACGGGAGGCAGCAGUGGGGGAUAUUGCACAAUGGGGGAAACCCUGAUGCAGCGACGCCGCGUGAGUGAUGAAGUAUUUCGGUAUGUAAAGCUCUAUCAGCAGGGAAGAUAAUGACGGUACCUGACUAAGAAGCACCGGCUAAAUACGUGCCAGCAGCCGCGGUAAUACGUGUGGUGCAAGCGUUAUCCGGAUUUACUGGGUGUAAAGGGAGCGUAGACGGCGAGGCAAGCCAGAUGUGAAAGGCUGGGGCUCAACCCCGGGACUGCAUUUGGAACUGUCUGGCUAGAGUAUCGGAGAGGUAAGUGGAAUUCCUAGUGUAGCGGUGAAAUGCGUAGAUAUUAGGAGGAACACCAGUGGCGAAGGCGGCUUACUGGACGAUAACUGACGUUGAGGCUCGAAAGCGUGGGGAGCAAACAGGAUUAGAUACCCUGGUA
rnacentral:rRNA from 1 species